rnacentral:rRNA from 1 species
CUACGGAGGGUGCAAGCGUUGUCCGGAUUUAUCGGGUUUAAAGGGUGCGUAGGUGGCGUGUUAAGUCAGUGGUGAAAGCCUGCAGCUCAACUGUAGAGGUGCCAUUGAUACUGACAUGCUUGAGUAUGGACGAGGUAGGCGGAAUUUGUGGUGUAGCGGUGAAAUGCAUAGAUACCACAAAGAACACCGAUAGCGAAGGCAGCUUACUGGACCAUAACUGACACUGAGGCACGAAAGUGUGGGUAGCGAACAGGAUUAGAUACCCUAGUAGUCC